rnacentral:lncRNA from 1 species
GCAAAAGGAUAUUUUUUCAGGUUUUUAUUUUUAAAUUGCAUUCCAUUUCUGCUAAGUUUGCCUUCAACGAUUGGGUGAAGUGCAUGACAAUAAUGCCCUUUAAAGAAUAACGUUCUGCAGCACCAGGUUUCAAGGUUAAUAAUGAUUAUUAUUUAUCUUCUAGUUUACAGAAAAUCCUUGGCUUAGACUCCUUAGAAGAAGUUUUAGAUGUCAAAUUUGUCAACUCCAAGUUCAUCGUCCAUAAUGUAUAUAGUGUUAGCAAGCAGGGAGUGGUUAUCCUUGAUGACAAGUCAAGUAAGUGCAUGAAAACCAUUUGUUCUUGGUUGACCUGGCACAUUGGCUGUGAGAUCCAUCAGCUCUUUUUUGACCCUUCCCUAAACCUAAGCAAGUUUAUCCUCUCCUUUCAUAUAUCUGUCUCUCAUUGCACAAUACUUAAAAACAAACAAAAAACAAAAAAAAUUAAAAAUAAACUUUUGGCUAAUUUUUUUGGAUAAAGAAAAUGUCAUGGAGAGAUGAGUGUCCAGAAGUGAAAACCUUAGCAGAAUCCAUCUAGAGGCUAGUUCAUGGUAACCCCCCUGCCCCCACCUACCACUCAGUGGUUCUGUGUUAUCCCUAGGUAAAACCCUCUGGAAAGUAAGUAUGUUUAAGACCUAACUGAGUGAGUCAGUUUUAACAUGGGGGCUGGGAGCCACUGCCUUUAGCUUCUGGCUC